AGGGUAUGAUACUGGCUCAGAGCGAACGUUGGCGGCGUGCUUAAUACAUGCAAGUCGUGCGAGGCCGGGUCCGCAAGGAUCCGAGUCGAGCGGCGAAAGGGUGAGUAACACGUGGGUAACGUACCCUCCGGUUCGGGAUAACAGCGCCUCCGCAAGGAGGCUUUAGCGAAAGUGCUGCUAAAACCGAAUGACGAUCAGAUCUCCUUCUUUGCAAGGAGAAGCGGGGUCUGGUCCAAAAGAGCUUCGGCUCCGCCGGAAGAGCGGCCCGCGGCCUAUCGGCUAGUUGGCGGGGUAACAGCCCACCAAGGCCAUGACGGGUAGCCGACCUGAGAGGGUGAUCGGCCACACGGGCACUGAGACACUGGCCCGAGCCCUACGGGGCGCAGCAGUAGGGAAUCUUGUCCAAUGGGCGAAAGCCUGAGACAGCGACGCCGCGUGGAGGACGAAGGCCUUCGGGUUGUAAACUCCCGUCAGGGGUUAGGAAUGGCUGCAUCGAGAGGUGCAGUUUGACAAAGGCCCCAGAGGAAGCCAUGGCUAACUCCGUGCCAGCAGCCGCGGUAAUACGGAGAUGGCGAACGUUGCUCGGUAUCACUGGGCGUAAAGCGCGCGUAGGCGGUUCGACAAGUUGGAUGUGAAAUUCCGUGGUUUACCCACGGCGCUGCGUCCAAAACUGUCGGACUAGAGUGCUGGAGGGGAGAGUGGAACUCCUGGUGGAGCGGUGAAAUGCGUAGAUAUCAGGAGGAACGCCGGUGGCGAAGGCGACUCUCUGGACAGUAACUGACGCUGAGUGGGCGAAAGCUAGGGGAGCAAACGGGAUUAGAUACCCCGGUAGUCCUAGCCGUAAACGAUGGGUACUUGGUAGUGCGGGAUAACCUGCGCUGCCGGAGCUAACGCGUUAAGUACCCCGCCUGGGGAGUACGGCCGCAAGGUUAAAACUCAAAGUAAUUGACGGGGGCUCGCACAAGCGGUGGAGCAUGUGCCUUAAUUCGAGACAACGCGAAAAACCUUACCAGGGUUUGACAUGCUGGUAGUACAACCCCGAAAGGGGACGGAUCCCGGUUUUGCCGGGAAGCCAGCACAGGUGUUGCAUGGCUGUCGUCAGCUCGUGUCGUGAGAUGUUGGGUUAAGUCCCAUAACGAGCGAAACCCUUGUUGCUAGUUGCGACCAGUUCGGCUGAGCACUCUAGCGAGACUGCCGUUGUCAAAACGGAGGAAGGCGGGGAUGACGUCAAGUCAUCAUGGCCCUUAAGCCCUGGGCCGGACACGUGCUACAAUGGGUGGUACAAAGGGAUGCGAAAUCGCGAGAUGGAGCGAAGCCCAAAAAAACCACCCCCAGUUCAGAUCGGGGGCUGCAAUUCGCCCCCGUGAAGCCGGAAUCGCUAGUAAUCGCGGAUCAGCCACGCCGCGGUGAAUAUGUUCCCGAGCCUUGUACACACCGCCCGUCAAGCCAUGGAAGCCGGAAGUGCGCGAAGUCGUUUGCCUAACCCCGCAAGGGGAGGGUAACGCCUACCGCAAGGCCGGUGACUGGGACUAAGUCGUAACAAGGUA
rnacentral:rRNA from 1 species